AGCAGCAGCCGCGGUAAUACGAAGGGGGCUAGCGUUGUUCGGAAUCACUGGGCGUAAAGGGUGCGUAGGCGGAUUCUUAAGUCAGGGGUGAAAUCCCGAGGCUCAACCUCGGAACUGCCUUUGAUACUGGGGAUCUUGAGUCCGGAAGAGGUGAGUGGAACUGCGAGUGUAGAGGUGAAAUUCGUAGAUAUUCGCAAGAACACCGGUGGCGAAGGCGGCUCACUGGUCCGGAACUGACGCUGAGGCACGACAGCGUGGGGAGCAAACAGGAUUAGAGACCCCGGUAGUCCCUGUCUCUUAUAC
rnacentral:rRNA from 1 species